CCCCCCCCCUUACCGGCGGUCGGCGCCGCGCUGCGGGGGCGGCGGCGGCGGCAGGCAGGCACCAGUCACGCCGGGAACCAUGGAAAGGAGCCGGGACGGGAGACCUCAGGGACGCCCAAACUUCAUCUAAGGGUCAUCUCUGCAAUUUACCCAGAUCCAGAACGCUACACCUACUAUGUGAAACUGGUGCAAACUGGUAUCAUUGCCACGGGUAACAGAGAUGGCUUGGAAACUACACAUCCCAACAUGCAAGGCCCCACCAGUGCAGGCUGCUCUAUGCUACGGGAGGAAGGAGUUUUGCUGGGGUGCAUUUGCCUCGCAUGCCUCGUUGCGGCCAUAUCAGCCUAAGUCAUGCAGCUGCCUGCACGCAAUGCUCUACACAGUGCAAAAACGAAGACCUCUACACAUCUGGAGUAAGAACAGUGGUAACAAAGUCAUAGCUACAUAUUCUUCUCUACAUUUUUGUUUAUUGAGACAAACUAAUUAAAAGGCACAAACAUAGGGCAUAUGUUUACAUGGACAUUAUAACAAACAUAUACAUUAAAAGUGUAGGAAUGUGUUUCCUUUCUGCUAAACAGAAAGUUCCUAAGCUUUUAUAUAUACAAAAGUUGUACAAUUUGAUGUCCUAAAGUACAAAAGAUCAUUUAUAAAAUUAUUUUACACUAAGCUCUAUUUUUUUUUUUGUUUUUGUUGUACUAUGUAGUCCAAGCCCCUAGAACAGUUUCACGUAAUGAUACAGAUACCUGUCACCUGAGCCAGCAGCCUGGCAAUCACUGCUUGUACUGACACGGCAGGGUAGAAACGGAAGCAGUCCAUUUUGACUAGUCAGUCCUGCUAGCACUCUGUGAAAAUGCGCACACGCUAAUCUCCAUAGCUUUCAACUUCAUUAAGAUAAAAACAUCUCAACUGUAAUUUUAUUUUUUUUUUUUAAUGUAGAGUCUUGGGUUUAGGGUGGUUUUUUUUUAAACAAAGUUUUAAAAACGUGAAUAUGUGACAUGAUAGUCUAAAAAGUAUAUCUGUUUCCCUAGAUUUUGCUUUCUACUUUAUGUACAGAUAAACAGGUUAAGAAAUAAAAAGCACAUGUAGCUUAAACAUGUGUGACCAUUUGUGGAGAAGUUCUGGGCUGGAUAGUUCAAACCAUCACCCCAGAACUCCCACAAAUUGAUAGAAAUGUGUUAACACAAUAGAAGAAUAACGUAAAAAUGAUGAUGUUUGCAAAUAUUUACAAAGUUGAACAGAUUUGCACAACACUU